UCUGUUUUCAUUCCAUUAAGGGUCACAGUAUCAUCAUCCUCCCAUUUAUCGAACCAUAUAGGUUCUAAUACCAUAUAUUUUCCGACAGGGACAUUAUAUUUUUUCCAUCGGGUCAUUCUAUUUUAUAGAAUUUAAAACAAAGUAGGCUUUCUAUUUUCAUUCCAUUAAGGGUCACGGUAUCAUCAUCCUCUCAUUUAUCGAACCAUAUAGGUUCAAAUACCAUAUAUUUUCCAUCAGGGACAUUCUAUUUUUUCCAUCGGGUCAUUCUAUUUUAUAGAAUUUAAAACAAAGUAGGUUUUCUUUUUUCAUUCCAUUAAGGGUCAGAAUAUCAUCAUCCUCCCAUUUAUCGAACCGUAUAGGUUCAAAUACCAUAUUUUUUCCAUCAGGGACAUUCUAUUUUUUCCAUCGGGUCAUUCUAUUUUAUAGAAUUUAAAACAAAGUAGGCUUUCUUUUUUCAUUGCAUUAAGGGUCAGAAUAUCAUCAUCCUCCCAUUUAUCGAACCGUAUAG
rnacentral:lncRNA from 1 species